CCCUCAACACACUGCACCACAUACAUACACAAUACUUCCAAAUAUAUAUUUAUAUAUAUACACACACACUACACUCUUAACAUACACACUCUGGAUCCCCUAUACACACACUAGAUUCCUUGUAAGCAAACACAUACUACACCCCUAAACAUACACUACAUCACCUAUAUACACACACACACACACACACACUAUAGCCUGUAUGCACACACUUGCUAUAUCCCCAAUACACACAUUCUCUACAGCCCCUAGCCACAUAUGCAUCACAUUACACCACAAACACAAC